UACGAAGGGGGCUAGCGUUGUUCGGAAUCACUGGGCGUAAAGCGCGUGUAGGCGGACUGUUAAGUCGGGGGUGAAAUCCCGAGGCUCAACCUCGGAAUUGCCUUCGAUACUGGCAGUCUUUGAGUCCGGGAGAGGUGAGUGGAAUUCCGAGUGUAGAGGUGAAAUUCGUAGAUAUUCGGAAGAACACCAGUGGCGAAAGCGGCUCACUGGACCACAACUGACGCUGAGGCGCGAAAGCUAGGGGAGCAAACAGG
rnacentral:rRNA from 1 species